rnacentral:rRNA from 1 species
UACGGGGGGGGCGAGCGUUGUUCGGAAUCACUGGGCGUAAAGGGCGCGUAGGCGGCCCGCACAAGUCUGCGGUGAAAACCUCCGGCUUAACCGGGGGCCGGCCGUGGAAACUGUCGGGCUGGAGGCUGGGAGAGGGCAGCGGAAUUCCCGGUGUAGCGGUGAAAUGCGCAGAUAUCAGGAAGAACACCCGUGGCUAAGGCGGUUCUCUAGUACGGUACUGACGCUGAGACGCGAAAGCGUGGGGAGCGAACAGG